CAAAGGUUUUCAAUCCGUUGAUCAAAGGCGAUUUGAUACUGUCUACUACUUGUUGCAACUUCAAUGCCUUCAGUAAUUUCGCCUCAGUGGCAAGAGAAAGCUAGUGGAUUCUUUCAAUCUUCGGGGGUGAAGUUGAAAGAAGCUGGGCAGUCUGCAGGAUCAUUUGUUGGUGAGGUUGCGAAAGAUGCAAAGGGAAAUGUUGGCGAGGUUGCUGAGAAAGUUGGAUCAGUAGUCAAAAGUCGAUGGUCGCUCCUGCAGCAGCCAUCAACAAGACAUGCCAUGCAGGAGCGCUUUAUCUCUGCGGCUGCUACAACCAGCUUCUUCUUGAGGAAGGGGUUUUUGGAGACAAAAGAUAAGGUUGCUGUUGGAAAGACAAAAGUUGAGGAGGUGGCAAAGAAAACUGCACAGAAAAGCAAGACUUUGCUGACUGAUAUAGAGCGGUGGCAGAAGGGAGUUGCCAGCACUGAUGUGUUUGGAGUCCCCAUCGAUAUCCUUGUGCAGAGGCAGCAAUCAACUAGAUCCGUUCCUUUUAUCAUGGUGAAAUGUGCAGAUUAUCUUGUCUUAUCAGGGCUGAAUUCACCUGAGCUAUUCAAGGCUGAAGGGGAUAAAAAGGUCAUACAUCAAUUGGUUUCUUACUACAAUCAAGAUCAAAAUGCACCAAUACCUGAGGGGGUAAAUCCGGUAGAUAUUGCAGCUCUGAUGAAGUGCUACCUUGCAAGUCUACCUGAGCCAUUGACAACCUUCGAGCUUUAUAAUGAAAUAAGAGGUGCUCGCUCAAGCAUACACGCAAUGAAGAAUACCUUAAAGAAGAUUCCAACUGUCAACUACAUGACACUGGAAUUGAUUACCGCGCUGCUACUCCGCGUAAGCCAGAAAUCUCUGGUUAACAAGAUGGAUGCUAGAACUCUUGCAACAGAAAUGGCUCCAAUCCUUAUUUGGCAAAGAGGACAGAGUCCACACCAGUAUGACCAGUUCUGGAACCAUUCAGCAAAAUCUUCUAAGAAAUAUAUGGACUCCAACUCUAACUCUAGUGCAUGGGAGAUGCUUGAAGAUGAAGAUGAAAAUGUUGAUGCAUCUUCUCCCAUCCCGUUGGAUGAUGGAUUGCCAAUUGACUUGGGUGCUAUUGAUGCCAUUCAAUGCUUAAUCGAACAUCAUAAUGCCAUAUUUACCGAUGCGAAUGAGACUGUUUGGCGAUAGUAUUGCAUCAGACUCUCAGAUUGGAUAUAUUGCACAGAUAGAAUGUCUUUAUCCCUGGUGAACAUCAGAAAAAAGUUUGGAACUCUUUUACCAUCAUACUUGAUUUUCUCAUAACAUUUAGGAGUUUGUAACCGUGGCUAUGUAAAUUUUUGAUUGGGAUAGGCAUGCAUAGGUUCAGAACUUGUGUUUAUAGCUCAGUUUUUUUUGUUAUGGGG
rnacentral:misc_RNA from 1 species